rnacentral:rRNA from 1 species
CAGUAGCCGCGGUAAUACGGAGGGGGUUAGCGUUGUUCGGAAUUACUGGGCGUAAAGCGCACGUAGGCGGCUUGGUAAGUUAGAGGUGAAAGCCUGGAGCUCAACUCCAGAAUUGCCUUUAAGACUGCCGAGCUAGCAGGUGAGAGAGGUAAGUGGAAUUCCGAGUGUAGAGGCGAAAUUCGUAGAUAUUCGGAAGAACACCAGUGGCGAAGGCGGCUUACUGGCUCAUACUGGACGCUGAGGUGCGAAAGCGUGGGGAGCAAUCAGGAUUAGAUACCCCCGUAGUCCCUGUCUCUUAUAC